GCGCCGGUAGCUCAGUUGGUAGAGCAGGUGGCUCUUAACCACUUGGUCGCAGGUUCGAGUCCUGCCCGGCGUACCA
rnacentral:tRNA from 1 species